rnacentral:rRNA from 1 species
UAGGGAAUCUUCCGCAAUGGACGAAAGUCUGACGGAGCAACGCCGCGUGAGUGAAGAAGGAUUUCGGUUCGUAAAACUCUGUUGUUAGGGAAGAAAAAAUGUAUAGUAACUAUAUACAAAAGAGACGGUACCUAACCAGAAAGCCACGGCUAACUACGUGCCAGCAGCCGCGGUAAUACGUAGGUGGCAAGCGUUGUCCGGAAUUAUUGGGCGUAAAGCGCGCGCAGGUGGUUUAGAAAGUCUGAUGUGAAAGGCCACGGCUCAACCGUGGAGGGUCAUUUGAAACUGAUAAACUUGAGUGCAGGAGAGGAAAGUGGAAUUCCUAGUGUAGCGGUGAAAUGCGUAGAGAUUAGGAAGAACACCGGUGGCGAAAGCGGCUUUUUGGCCUGCAACUGACACUGAGGCGCGAAAGCGUGGGGAGCAAACAGG